rnacentral:lncRNA from 1 species
GGACUGGUCGGAUCGAUUUCCAAAGGUUCCGGAUGAGUUUGUGCGAAACUAGUCACUUAAGUGGUUAAGAAGGGUUCCGACAAUCAAAACCGGGCAAACGAGGUCGAAACUGUAAUUUGACGACGCAUACAGGUUCGUGUCGUCAUUUGUGACCCAUAGGAACUGGAAUCGUGACCAAGGUAGUGGUAGUUGGUUGGCGAUGAGUACGAACGACAGGUACCUUCCUUUUUGUGGAAGAUCCUUCCAUCCUUGG